UCGCUCUGGCUAUGCUCCAUUGACUGGAGCAGCUAGAAGGUCCAGAUUCACGGGAGAGCACAGACGCCACUUCUCAGGGGGAGGCAAGUCAGUCAACUUUUUUAACAAGAGUACGUAGGAUGGAUAAAUACAUUGGUGAGGCCAUCUUUGGAAAACACAAUCUGCCGUGCAUGAAGAGGCUGAAUACAGAAGUGCUGAGAGAUUUCCAAGUAUAGAUAUGACCAUGGAGGGAAGCUGCUGAGCGCACGGGAGGUCAGAAGACUGAGACAGAGAGGAGUCCAUUCAUUUGCCUGAAGUGACAGAGCGACCCUCAAGGCGGCCCCUCUGACUCACACCUGGAGACCCCUCGCGGAGCGCGCCACCAGAAAGACCACCAGGUGUCGCUCGGGAGCCCGGCUUGGAGCGUUGACCCUGGUUGCCAUGGAUACAGCUGGGCGGGGGCGGAGCCAAAGCGGAUCCGCGAAGGAGGUGGCGGGUCUCACCUCUCUGCCACCCGCCAGUUUUCAUUACCCACCCCAUCGUCCCCAAUCCUGUCACCCCACCUCACCCCAGGCCUCAGCUUAAAUGUUCUUAUUUUAAGAGAUCCCUUUGCAUCCCUCCUGGAUCUUACUCUCUCUGGAUGCAACCCUUACCCUGAAGUUGGCCUGUGUCCUCCCUGUCCAUGCUCUCAUACUUCCACUGCCUUGACAAUGCUGCAAUGAACAUCUUUGCACCUUGUUCCUGGCCCCCCAUGCAACAGGCUCUCUCUGGAAUAUGUCUAGAAACACAAGUUCUGGGGUGUGAGGUGUGAGCAUCCUCCAGCCCCUGGGGAUUGCCAGUUGCUCUGGGAGUGAAUGAAGCAAUUUCUACACCCCCCCAGUAGGGGGUGAGUCCCUGUUUCCCCACAUCUUCACUGGUACUUAGUGAUGUCACCCUUUCAGUUUUUCAGGAUGAUGUCUUCUUGUCUCCUCCUCCGGGCGGUGAGAGGUGAUUCAUUGCUCAUGGUGGCUGAUCUUUGAAUUGAAUCCCCAAUGGACAUUUUUAAAUGUUUUGCAGUUUCUCCUUUCGCACAGACCAGUGCAGAUAGGCUCUUGCCCUGGGUGCCAUCGGUUUUCUGUAAGUGUUCACAUGCCAUUGUGCCAUAGAACCAGUCAUAGUUCAAGGAGGCAGCUGGUCAAGAAAUGCCCUUGACCAGCCAGCCUCCUUGUUGCCUCCCUCCCAACACAGUCUCCUUCCUCGCUGCAUUCGUAAGCUGCCCAUUCUAAGAAGAAUCAACAGAGUAGGGUUGGCUUCGUGGGUGAGUGACUGUUGAGGAAUGUCAUCGAGAAAACAUGACGGUUGAUUGACCCAUGAGCUGGCUGGACCGGGCACUCGGAGGAGGCUCCUCAUCCCUCCCCCACCCUUGGAAUGCGGGUUCCGCUUGCCUUUGCUUUUCCCAGAGGCUGCUCCGAGGUCAUAGUCUUGAGAGAGUGAUGUGCAUUGAGAACACCUGCAUGGUAUAUGUGACUGAAACAGUUAGAGCCUCUUUAUAAACUUCUAAG